rnacentral:rRNA from 1 species
GGACCAAAGAGGGGGACCUUCGGGCCUCUUGCCAUCAGAUGUGCCCAGAUGGGAUUAGCUAGUUGGUGAGGUAACGGCUCACCAAGGCGACGAUCCCUAGCUGGUCUGAGAGGAUGACCAGCCACACUGGAACUGAGACACGGUCCAGACUCCUACGGGAGGCAGCAGUGGGGAAUAUUGCACAAUGGGCGCAAGCCUGAUGCAGCCAUGCCGCGUGUAUGAAGAAGGCCUUCGGGUUGUAAAGUACUUUCAGCGGGGAGGAAGGGGAUAAGGCUAAUAACCUUGUUCAUUGACGUUACCCGCAGAAGAAGCACCGGCUAACUCCGUGCCAGCAGCCGCGGUAAUACGGAGGGUGCAAGCGUUAAUCGGAAUUACUGGGCGUAAAGCGCACGCAGGCGGUCUGUCAAGUCGGAUGUGAAAUCCCCGGGCUCAACCUGGGAAC